AGUCGAGGGGCAGCAUGGUCUUAGCUUGCUAAGGCUGAUGGCGACCGGCGCACGGGUGAGUAACACGUAUCCAACCUGCCGUCUACUCUUGGCCAGCCUUCUGAAAGGAAGAUUAAUCCAGGAUGGGAUCAUGAGUUCACAUGUCCGCAUGAUUAAAGGUAUUUUCCGGUAGACGAUGGGGAUGCGUUCCAUUAGAUAGUAGGCGGGGUAACGGCCCACCUAGUCAACGAUGGAUAGGGGUUCUGAGAGGAAGGUCCCCCACAUUGGAACUGAGACACGGUCCAAACUCCUACGGGAGGCAGCAGUGAGGAAUAUUGGUCAAUGGGCGAUGGCCUGAACCAGCCAAGUAGCGUGAAGGAUGACUGCCCUAUGGGUUGUAAACUUCUUUUAUAAAGGAAUAAAGUCGGGUAUGCAUACCCGUUUGCAUGUACUUUAUGAAUAAGGAUCGGCUAACUCCGUGCCAGCAGCCGCGGUAAUACGGAGGAUCCGAGCGUUAUCCGGAUUUAUUGGGUUUAAAGGGAGCGUAGAUGGAUGUUUAAGUCAGUUGUGAAAGUUUGCGGCUCAACCGUAAAAUUGCAGUUGAUACUGGAUGUCUUGAGUGCAGUUGAGGCAGGCGGAAUUCGUGGUGUAGCGGUGAAAUGCUUAGAUAUCACGAAGAACUCCGAUUG
rnacentral:rRNA from 1 species